CUCGUCGAAGGCUAUCAAGUCAUAUAGCCAAAACUUGUGAAAAUAAAUAUUUACAUGCAUGCAUGCAGUCAGAGAACCAUUUCAUAUUUCACAGCGGACUCCGUUUGACCGUAAAUUCUAGAGCCAAAGGGGCGGAAUUACAGUUGGAUUUAGAGAAAUGUGGCGGAUCAAAACGGAAAGCCCAUUUCUGCAAACAGAGAUGUAAUAUUGUAGACGAAAUCAAAUUUUAGAUUUUGUUGAUGUAGCGAUGAACUAUAUUUGUAAUGUGCAAGUCAGGAGAAGCAAAUGCGAAGGCCUUUAUCGUGAUAUUUUUCUCCUUCUCCAACAAUCCUUUUAUUUGAAAGUUGAAGUAAGACGACGAGAAAUCAACUUCCGUGUCGUCAACUUCGGUUGUAAGACGUGCAUGUUUCGAAUCCAUCGUAAGAGAAACUCAUUAGAUUUUCUUCUAUCAUAAAAACGAGCGUUGCUCUCUUUGCAGCAUAAUAGUCGUAAAUAAUUAACUUUCACUAUGGACAUAGUUAUCGAAACUUUAUUUAGCAAAAACAACAAUGGCAACGAAGUGCAUGGCACGCAUUAAACGGCUUCUAUCUAUUGCGCGCCAACUGUAAUCCCGCCCCUUACAAAUAUUGUCAUUGUCACAGCCCAACGUGCUUUGCGAACGCAUGCUGCUAGAUCAUAUUGUUUUACUUGGAGAAGAUGGGUUGAUCUUUGUGAUUGAUAAUUUUGGAGGAUGAUAUGGAAGUUGAUUUGUCAAAUAAAAGGAUUGUUAUAAAAGGAGAAAACAUAACGACAAAGGACUUCGCAUUUGAUUCUCCUGGCUUGCACAUUACAAGUAGUUCAUCGUUAUACAGUGGGGGUCAAAAGCAGUGGCGUACUACGCAGAC